rnacentral:lncRNA from 1 species
GCAAUAUGAAAAUUUGCUUAAAAUACAUGUUUAUCUUAAAAUCAAACUGGACCGGGCCAUAACAAGCUUAAACAGUCCAAAGAUCCAACGGACUACGUACAACGGCCUACUGAUAUUCUUCGUUAUACUAUCAUCAUCAACUAAACCAAACUAAAUUGCUAAACACAUGGAAAUACAUCUAAUUAUUCUAACAUCAUACUAUUUAAUAGUCCACAUUAGUUCGAGUACGUUCCAAUUCACAACAAGUAAAUAUGAUUGGAAUGAGCCUAAACAAAUACAAACUACCUAUCAUUCGUCCUAUUGCUACAUCUUGAACACAGAUACUAUGAAGCAGGCAAACGUGCAUUUCUCAAUUCAUUUCAACUUCAGCUUCAAAUUCAGGCUUACAUUAACACAUGGUUUCAGAAGUGUGUACCUGGAAAUGUUUACAAUGGGAGAAAAGGAAGAUCAGUAGCAGCAAAACAACAACAACAGUAUAACAAAACAACUCAGUGAUAGCUUUUAAAACCAACAGUGGAGUCCCAAGAAUACUCAAUGAAAUAGCACCAAUACAAAACAAUGUAGACCAAGAAAUAAUAGCUCAAGAAACCACUUAAAACCUCAGUGAAACCCCAGAAAUAUUCAGCAAUUAGAACAGAACCAGAAUGUAUUCAGAAAUGCAAAAGAUGCAAGGACCAGUCCUGAUUUUUCAACCUUCAAAAUAUAACACUAUCAAACAAACUCUCAGUUUUCUUCAACACUCAAAACUCAGCCCCACAGUUAAAGCUGAAGCUCUUUUCAGUUUCAAAAUGGGAUCAGAUUUUUUCCAAAAA